CUUAAUUACAACAUGCCACGUCAUCUCCCAGUUGACAAUGGUACGCGUGUCCAUCAUCCGUAGUCAUUACCAGUUCAGGUUGAGACCACGAUAUCUGGAGUCUCAAUUCUUGUCUCAUCCGCAGCCAUUUGCAAUAAUCUUCACAACUCCGCCAACACGACCACAUCUUAGCAACAAAUCAUCGUCACCCAUCAUCAACAGAAAGCUACUACCGCCUUGAAUCUACACCAAAAUCAACCCGGGUGAUCUUCUAAUCUUCCCAGCAGCUUCGUUCUUUCCGCUCACUUACGCCGAGUCACACUAGCAACCGCUUCAUCCCCUCCGAUUGCAUCUGGCUACACCAACAUCGCCUCCCUCUUAAUCUCUUGCACACUACUGAAAAGAUAAAUCAAGCACAAAUCAAAUCAUAUCCGGAUAUGAAUCAACUAUCAGCGCACUCCAAUUCAGAGAUAUGAGGAAAUGAUCAAAAGUAUAAUUACCAGCCGCAUCAGAAGAUUCAAUUGUCAAAACGAAUGAAAAGGAUAAGUUCUCUCCCAUCUUUUCAUUGAUUCUGUGAUUGUUAUCUCAUCGAUUUCAGAAAAAUCUUUUACUGUUCUCAAAUACCUAAUUUCAUCGAUUGCAUCUGGAAACGUUUAUUCAAAGCUGGAUGUGAUUAUAGAUCUUUAAUAACCACAUCUCGAUCUAUCUUUUGAGAUGAAAGUGUCCAAGAAUUUUCCUUAGAAUUUCUAGGGUUUUAGUGAUAACAAAAUCGAGAAAUUUCUCAAUCUCUAGCUCUGAUUAAAAGUCGGUUAUUCGAUUCAUUAUGGGUUAUCUUUUCUUUUUCAUUGAUUUCGUUUUCUUAUGCUGAUCUCUUAAUAAGCUUAUAGUUAUUCUCGUUUAAUUGUCUGAUAUAAAAUAAAAUCUGGUUAUUCGUAUAUGAGUCGUACAAUGGAAAUGUGAUAUCUAAUUGAAAAUAUUGUUAUCAUCCUCAUGGUCAAAGCAGAUCUUAUAUAAAACGUCUAGUGAAGAUGAAGUAGUUGCUACUUAAUAAGGAUUAUACACUGAUGUUUCAAUGAAUUGAAAUCUCAAAGAGAAGCAGCAGCUGUCAUCAGCAUUCAUGAAAGAAUUGAUCUCAAAAGAGAAAGGCAUUUCAAAUGGUGAAAUCUGAUCCAUCUGUUUUGUGAAGCACUAACAGCACCCGCGCCCUUCGUCCAUAGCCGACUACCCAAAAUGUCGCUGCCUUGUUAUUUGAUUCAUCAAAAACUAAAAGUUGCCUGGAAUUGUCACUCGAGGAAUUGCACUUCUGCUCCAACUACCGGGUAUCAAUAGUCAAUCACCAUUCCCAACACAACUAGAAGAGAGUAGCAGCUGACGUAAAGCUCAUGAGCGUCAUUCAAGUGCAUCAAUGCUACGUCUUCCUCAUCCCGCCCUCACCUACAAAACCAUGGACAACACACUGAAAGGGAACUAGACUUAUCUCUCUGAGCUUAAUCGCUUUAAUAAUUUCAUGACUUGUUCCAUGACUUAUUUUGAUUUAAUCCAUGACUUGCAUCACACUUUGACAGAAACAGCGCCUCGCAAUGGCUAAAAACUUCCUGGCACCCCUGUAAAUUGAUGACACCACCAGCGCUCCUGAUUUCACCAUGACUACCAGUGCUAAUGUAUAGAGAGAGCAUAAUAGCAACACCACUUGACUACACCUGCCAUCACACAGUGUACAUCAUACUGCAGCCAUCCUGACCACUGUUGCUGCCACUGCUAUGAAGCCUGCUGCUCUUUACUUCUUCAGAACCUCUAGUUGCCUCCUUGGGAUGUUGGGACAUUGAGGAUACUUAGCUCAGAAUAGCCUCAAAAAUUCCUUAUAAUCAGCCAAACACAAGCGUCAGAAGCAAAUUUUCAUUGAAAAGCUCGACUGUUGAUCACCACCUCAUCACCAUCCGGAAUGGAUAUUGAACACGAGCUGAAGCACCUAGACUAUCUGAAGGAUAAGUAUUACAUCAUAUUUAUUUGUAUCUCCAGCCCAUCCUGUUAAUUAAGUUAUCUGUGACUGAGAACACAUGAAAUCUCUUCGAUAUGUAUGUGUGAAAAUCAUAAUCUUUGGGAGUAUCAUGGUGCAAAAUCUUGAGGCAGAUAAUUCUACCUUCUCGGUCAAGGCGCUUCUCUAGACGGAUCAGUUCCAACGCGUCUGUUGCGUGCUAUCGCUUUGAAGCUACAAUCCUCAAAGAUGCAAGAAGUGGAAUGAAAAGCCGUUGCAUCGCUCGACUGCACCAAGUGCUAUCCCUCCACUGUUGUCUGGCUCCAAGAGAAGAAAGCGCUGCACCAUCUCUUCCAGAAGCGGCUACUACAACUCAUCUCUUGUUCUCGUAAUCUUCUCGUCAAAUACCAUAGAAACGGUACCCCCUUUAUCUCUCUGUCAAAAUAUAGCUUCAAUCUGGCAUAACUUAGGUUGUAUUAGCUUUGCUCAAUAAAUAGCAGCGGGAAUCCUUGGAAUUCAAAUUCCAGGAUUUUUGAUUCUCUCCUAGUACAGAGCUUUUGAAUCAGCUGAUAUCUUGAUCUACCACUCGCCAUUAGUGAUUUAAUUUAUCGCAUGAUUACUGCCCUCUUUAUCUUUAA